rnacentral:lncRNA from 10 species
CACACAUAUAUACAUGUGUAUAUAUAUGCAUGUAUAUAUAUGUAUGCACAGGGCAUUUCAUUUAGUCCUGACAAAGCAUUAUACUUGAAAUUUAUAAAAAUAUGCCACAAACACAAAUGCAUCAACCUGAAAAUAUCAUCUCAUGAAGCUGGCAUCUGAUCUUUAAAACGGAAAAGAGAUCUCCAUCAUCACACUUUUAUGCUUACAUGGCUUGUGAAGACUUCAAGAAUAUAAGCACUUAUUCUGUCAAAAUAAGGAGAUCAAGUACUAGCCAUCUCCAGCUAAUUCAGAAUGCCCCAGACUUUUGAUAGAAAUCUGUUCAGUUAACACUGCAGCAGUCAUGAUAUUCUGUUAAAUGCUUAAAGUUCAGAAGGCAGAAUGGUUGUGCAUUUUUUUCUCUCUAUUAUCUAAAUUUCUUAAUUCAGAGUAAUAACUCAUUUUCCGGAUGUGACAAUGCUAUUUACUGUUUAAAUAUAGAAUCUUGGUGGAAACUUUAUAAACAUGUCAUUCCUAAGGCACAUU